AGAAACCUGACCUGGAGGAAGGACUGGGGCUGCCAGCUGCUGAAUACCCAGAGGAACUGGAGGAGCUAGGCAGUAACUUGGGCCAGCAUGAGCCUGACAUGGAAGGAGAGCUGCCAGCAGCUGAAUACCCUGAUGAGCUGGAGGGACCAGAGGGACCCACUCAAGAGACUGGCAGUGACCCCAUCUCCACAAGCACCCUGGAUACUUUGGAAUGGAUGGAGCCAGGAGAAAGUGGACCUAACCCAGAGGAUGAAGUCACUGAUGAAGAGGUGGAGAUAGAUGGCUAUGUGGAGCCCACGGCAGGGUUGCCUGGUGGUGCACUCAGUCAGUAGCUGUUCUACACUCCAGAGGUGUCUAGCCAGUCUCGGCAGUCACUCUAGUGCACAAGAAGCAGGAGAGGAGACCUUGAUGUCUGCCUUGAUCUUCAAGAAGCUCAGCACUCAUGACUAACUAGGGUUCUGUUUGCUGAAACUUCAGUUUUAAAUAGAUAUCUGCUAAGAACCUCAGAAUGUUCUCUCUCCAAUAAAUACACCUGUUCUAAAA